UCGUGCCUAAUCAAGAUCACACAGAGCUUCUCUGACGUUGGUAUUGAAAACAGAGGAAUAAUUUGAAGCAGGCAGCCCAUUUGACUUCCAAGAGGUAGUCAGGUCAUCUUUAGAAAAUUAGGAAUAUGAAUGAUCUCAGUACAGGUUGCUUUCUAAGAGAUGGGAGUAUAAAGGACUGGCUGAGGGCCCAGCGAAGUGCCAGUUCAUUUUGCAAUCAAGGUAACACCUUGUAUUUGAGCAUUUUGUCUUUGGUCUCCCCGAUGGCCCUGCAGGAGGCAGCUGGAUGGCGGCUCAGCACAGUGGCCAAGGUUUCUACCUGGAGAUUCCUGAAGACUUCUGCUGACCAGGGUGGAGAAAUCAGUUCCUGCCGUCUAGGGAGUUCACGUAUUGAGGAAGGAAGAGUAGGCUUGUGAGGACAGUACAUUCUGUGCCCGUGAGCUCCAUAUUUGGAGACGUAGGUGGGGGUGGACUUGGAUUUCCUGUCUGUCCUUGUGGAUUAAAAUCAGAGCUCAGGCUGCUGAUAGCACCCAGAGCUCUGUCUCCUCCGGAAAGAGGUGCGACACCGACCACUGGACCACGCAUGUGCUGCGUCUUCCUUCUGGGAUAUCUGUAAACAUGAAGCUGUUUCUGGUUCUCAUUAUUCUGCUAUGUGAGUCACUCAAAGCCUUGCCCAUAUUUCAUGUUGAGGGGCAAAUAAAGAUUGGAAGCAAGAGACUGAGGACCGUCAACGCAUUACUCUGAACAGGCACAGACGCGAUCCAGCCCAAAAAAUGCUUUAAUAAUGUAACAGGCUUCUGCAGGAAGAGAUGCAAAUUAGGGGAAACAUCUGACAUGGGAUGUCUACGUGGGAAACACUGUUGUGUGAACGUAGAGGAAAACAAGAAAUAUCAGCAAGCCCAUGAGCCAGUUAAGCCUCCUGUUAAGAAGACCGAGGGGGAGGACUUGAAGGACUAUAUGAUCAUACCCACCAUCACUGUUGUCACCAUCAACCUGUAAGCCAAACGCUGUUUCCUCCGUCUCCACCGGUCCCGAAUCCCAAGUGCCGUCGAACCCAGCAGGCUCCAGCAGGAGGCGGAUCUGUUUCCUUCUGUGAACUUGAUUCUCCACGUAAUAAAGUCCUAUGCUUCGGCUUAGAUUUAUUUAUUGAUGCACACUCUCAGAUUCUGAACACUUCAGGCACGAAUCGCUGCCCUGUUCACGGUGGUACACUAGUGAAGUGGGGGAUAUAAGGAUUAGCUCCACUUUCUAUGCAGGACUGUUGUAACAGUUCACAGAAUUUCAGGCAUUUCUCCUCUUUUCUAAAAAAUUAAAUUUCCUACAUAUAUUUGAGAUCUGGAUUCCCCCAAGUGUGUGUGUGUGUGGUGGUGUUGGUGGUGGUGAUAUAUGAAUGAAUACAAUGGAUUUUGCUAACAACCAAAAAUUCAUUAAAGGAAGAAUAAUAUUUGAACAUUUCUGUAACAUUUAUUGGGAGAGAUCUGAUAGUCAGUGAAAACAGCUAGUGAUAAUUUCAAUAUAUCCUUUGGACUUCAUUUACUAUGCAUCCUCUAUCUCCUUUUUCAGAAGCAAUUUGAACAUCUGGUUGACCUGAGUUUUAGACAAACUGCAAGCGUUGCAUAUUCUGUUUGUUGCAAUAGGGUGAAAUUGAAAGUCUUGUACACGAGGGAGAGAAACCUAAGAAGCACCUCAUUGUGUGUGGGGGGGUUCACGUCCCACAUGGAUGA